GUGGGGAAUCUUAGACAAUGGGCGCAAGCCUGAUCUAGCCAUGCCGCGUGAUCGAUGAAGGCCUUAGGGUUGUAAAGAUCUUUCAGUGGGGAAGAUAAUGACUGUACCCACAGAAGAAGCCCCGGCUAACUCCGUGCCAGCAGCCGCGGUAAUACGGAGGGGGCUAGCGUUGUUCGGAAUUACUGGGCGUAAAGCGCACGUAGGCGGAACAGAAAGUCAGAGGUGAAAUCCCAGGGCUCAACCUUGGAACUGCCUUUGAAACUCCUGUUAUUGAGUUCGAGAGAGGUGAGUGGAAUUCCGAGUGUAGAGGUGAAAUUCGUAGAUAUUCGGAGGAACACCAGUGGCGAAGGCGGCUCACUGGCUCGAUACUGACGCUGAGGUGCGAAAGCGUGGGGAGCAAACAGGAUUAGAAACCCUUGUAGUCC
rnacentral:rRNA from 1 species